rnacentral:lncRNA from 1 species
GUAUAAGGGCAAAAGGAGUUGAGAUAGGCCUAGAGAAACUAGAGUGUAAUAAGAGAGUGUGCUCAUGUUGGAUUAGAUGUUGAAUUGAGUGCUAGUUGUGUUUCUUUUGGCUAUGAGCUCCCACCUUCAAACUUCUCUCCCUAUGAGUUCUAGAAAGUUCACUUGUGGACAAGUAAAAGAACAAGUUUGGGAGAGUUGAUAUCUUGCAUA